GAUGAACGCUGGCGGCGUGCCUAACACAUGCAAGUCGAACGGAGUCCAGCCUUUAAGACCUUCGGGUCAAAGAGGGGAAGACUGAGUGGCGGACGGGUGAGUAACACGUGGGCAACCUGGCUCAUAGAGGGGGAUAACAGAGAGAAAUUUCUGCUAAUACCGCAUAAGCACACACUGCCGCAUGGCAGAGGGUGAAAAGAGAAUCGCUAUGAGAUGGACCCGCGUCUGAUUAGCCAGUUGGCAGGGUAAGAGCCUACCAAAGCGACGAUCAGUAGCCGAUCUGGGAGGAUGAACGGCCACAUUGGGACUGAGACACGGCCCAAACUCCUACGGGAGGCAGCAGUGGGGGAUAUUGCAAAAGGGGGGGAACCCUGAUGCAGCGACGCCGCGUGAGUGAAGAAGUAUUUCGGUAUGUAAAGCUCUAUCAGCAGGGAAGAUAAUGACAGUACCUGAAUAAGAAGCCCCGGCUAACUACGUG
rnacentral:rRNA from 1 species